rnacentral:rRNA from 1 species
AAUCAACGCUGGCGGCGUGCCUCAGACAUGCAAGUCGAACGAUUAAAGCUCUCUUCGGAGAGUGCAUAAAGUGGCGCACGGGUGAGUAACACGUAAGUAAUCUACCUUCGAGUGGGGAAUAACGUCCGGAAACGGACGCUAAUACCGCAUAACGCAGCGGCAUCGCAAGAUGACAGUUAGUUAAAGAUUUAUCGCUUGAAGAGGAGCUUGCGGCAGAUUAGCUUGUUGGUAAGGUAACGGCUUACCAAGGCUACGAUCUGUAACCGGUCUAAGAGGACGGUCGGUCACACUGACACUGAAUAACGGGUCAGACUCCUACGGGAGGCAGCAGUCGGGAAUUUUGGGCAAUGGGCGAAAGCCUGACCCAGCAACGCCGCGUGAAGGAUGAAAUCUUUCGGGAUGUAAACUUCGGAAGAAU